GGCGUAAAGAGCUUGUAGGCGGCUUGUCGCGUCUGCUGUGAAAGCCCGGGGCUUAACCCCGGGUCUGCAGUGGGUACGGGCAGGCUAGAGUGUGGUAGGGGAGACUGGAAUUCCUGGUGUAGCGGUGGAAUGCGCAGAUAUCAGGAGGAACACCGAUGGCGAAGGCAGGUCUCUGGGCCAUUACUGACGCUGAGAAGCGAAAGCGUGGGGAGCGAACAGGAUUAGAUACCCUGGUAGUCCACGCCGUAAACGUUGGGCGCUAGGUGUGGGUCCCAUUCCACGGGGUCCGUGCCGCAGCUAACGCAUUAAGCGCCCCGCCUGGGGAGUACGGCCACAAGGCUAAAACUCAAAGGAAUUGACGGGGGCCCGCACAAGCGGCGGAGCAUGCGGAUUAAUUCGAUGCAACGCGAAGAACCUUACCAAGGCUUGACAUGUACCGGAAACCCUCGGAGACGGGGGCCCCGCAAGGCUGGUACACAGGUGGUGCAUGGUUGUCGUCAGCUCGUGUCGUGAGAUGUUGGGUUAAGUCCCGCAACGAGCGCAACCCUCGUUCUAUGUUGCCAGCGGUUCGGCCGGGGACUCAUAGGAGACUGCCGGGGUCAACUCGGAGGAAGGU
rnacentral:rRNA from 1 species